rnacentral:rRNA from 1 species
GUGGGGAAUAUUGGACAAUGGGCGAAAGCCUGAUCCAGCCAUGCCGCGUGUGUGAAGAAGGUCUUCGGAUUGUAAAGCACUUUAAGUUGGGAGGAAGGGCAGUAAGUUAAUACCUUGCUGUUUUGACGUUACCGACAGAAUAAGCACCGGCUAACUUCGUGCCAGCAGCCGCGGUAAUACGAAGGGUGCAAGCGUUAAUCGGAAUUACUGGGCGUAAAGCGCGCGUAGGUGGUUUUGUAAGUUUGAGGUGAAAACCCCAGGAUCAACCUGGGAACUGACUGCAAAACUGCAUUACUAUAGUACGGUAGAGGGUAGUGGAAUUUCCUGUGUAGCGGUGAAAUGCGUAGAUAUAGGAAGGAACACCAGUGGCGAAGGCGACUACCUGGACUGAUACUGACACUGAGGUGCGAAAGCGUGGGGAGCAAACAGGAUUAGAUACCCUUGUAGUCC